UACAGAGGUCUCGAGCGUUGUUCGGAUUCAUUGGGCGUAAAGCGUGCGCAGGCGGUUUGUUAAGUCUGCUGUGAAAUCCCCGAGCUCAACUUGGGAAUUGCAAUGGAUACUGGCAAGCUGGAGUAUGGUAGAGGAAGGUGGAAUUCCCGGUGUAGCAGUGAAAUGCGUAGAGAUCGGGAGGAACACCAGUGGCGAAGGCGGCCUUCUGGACCAAUACUGACGCUCAUGCACGAAAGCGUGGGGAGCAAACAGG
rnacentral:rRNA from 1 species